GUGCAUGUUUCAUUGACCUGCUUUCAUUGUUUGAGGGUGCAAAUGUUAUUUCUGACAUGCUAUAAAAUUUAUAGUAGGCUAGUUAGCAGCAUAACUUGGUGUAGUAAUGCUGCCAAUUUCCUUCAAACAAAU
ensembl:snoRNA